rfam:Tolypothrix bouteillei VB521301 scaffold_2, whole genome shotgun sequence.
GUGGUAAUUUAUACGAAUCCCUAUCAGGGAUUGAAAC